rnacentral:rRNA from 1 species
UACGUAGGGUGCAAGCGUUAAUCGGAAUUACUGGGCGUAAAGCGUGCGCAGGCGGUUUUGUAAGCCAGAUGUGAAAUCCCCGGGCUCAACCUGGGAAUCGGCAUUUGGGACUGCAAGGCUGGAGUACGGCAGAGGAGACUGGAAUUCCUGGUGUAGCAGUGAAAUGCGUAGAUAUCAGGAGGAAUACCGAUGGCGAAGGCAGGUCUCUGGGCUGAUA